rfam:Pteropus alecto contig39076, whole genome shotgun sequence.
UUUUUAGCAUAAGUACAUCUCAUGCAGUAUUUGGGAUAUACUUAUGCUAAAA